rnacentral:rRNA from 1 species
GUUGUAGACGCAUGUUCAGUGAAAUCGAGUAGGGCGGGACACGUGUUAUCCUGUCUGAAUAUGGGGGGACCAUCCUCCAAGGCUAAAUACUCCUGACUGACCGAUAGUGAACCAGUACCGUGAGGGAAAGGCGAAAAGAACCCCUGUGAGGGGAGUGAAAUAGAACCUGAAACCGUGUACGUACAAGCAGUAGGAGCACCUUCGUGGUGUGACUGCGUACCUUUUGUAUAAUGGGUCAGCGACUUAUAUUCAGUGGCAAGGUUAACCAUCUAGGGGAGCCGUAGGGAAACCGAGUCUUAACUGGGCGCCAUAGUCUCUGGAUAUAGACCCGAAACCGAGUGAUCUAGCCAUGGGCAGGUUGAAGGUUGAGUAACAUCAACUGGAGGACCGAACCGACUAAUGUUGAAAAAUUAGCGGAUGACUUGUGGCUAGGGGUGAAAGGCCAAUCAAACUCGGAGAUAGCUGGUUCUCCCCGAAAGCUAUUUAGGUAGCGCCUCGGACGAAUACUACUGGGGGUAGAGCACUGUUAAGGCUAGGGGGUCAUCCCGACUUACCAACCCUUUGCAAACUCCGAAUACCAGUAAGUACUAUCCGGGAGACACACGGCGGGUGCUAACGUCCGUCGUGGAGAGGGAAACAACCCAGACCGCCAGCUAAGGUCCCAAAUUACAGCUAAGUGGGAAACGAUGUGGGAAGGCUUAGACAGCUAGGAUGUUGGCUUAGAAGCAGCCAUCAUUUAAAGAAAGCGUAAUAGCUCACUAGUCGAGUCGGCCUGCGCGGAAGAUGUAACGGGGCUAAGUUGUAAACCGAAGCUGCGGCAAUGUUCUUUGAACAUUGGGUAGGGGAGCGUUCUGUAAGCCGUUGAAGGUGUGUUGUAAAGCAUGCUGGAGGUAUCAGAAGUGCGAAUGCUGACAUGAGUAACGACAAGGGGGGUGAAAAACCUCCCCGCCGGAAGACCAAGGGUUCCUGUCCAACGUUAAUCGGGGCAGGGUAAGUCGACCCCUAAGGCGAGGCCGAAAGGCGUAGUCGAUGGGAAACGGGUUAAUAUUCCCGUACUUCUUACAAUUGCGAUGGGGGGACGGAGAAGGCUAGGUGGGCCUGGCGACGGUUGUCCAGGUUCAAGUGCGUAGGCU